rnacentral:rRNA from 1 species
AUUGAACGCUGGCGGCAGGCCUAACACAUGCAAGUCGAGCGGAUGAAGGGAGCUUGCUCUUGGCUUCUGCGGCGGACGGGUGGGUGAUUCAUAGGAGUCUGCCUUGCCGUGGGGGCUGACGUCCGGUAACGGGCGCUGAUCUAGUAUCCGUACUGAGUUUGAACGUGGUGGAUCAUCGGAGCACGCGGGAUCUGCUGUGCCUUAGUCGGAUUAGCUAGUUGGUGGGGUAAGGGCCUACCAAGGCGACGAUGCGUAACCGAUCUGAGUGGGUGAUCCGUCACACUGGAACUGAGACACGGUCCAGACUCCUACGGGAGGCAGCAGUAGGGAAUAUUGGACAAUGGGCGAAAGCCUGAUCCAGCCAUGCCGCGUGUGUGAAGAAGGUCUUCGGAUUGUAAAGCACUGUAAGUUGGGAAGAAGAUCAGUAACUGUAUACCUGGCUGUUUUGACGGUACCAACAGAAUAAGCACCGGCUAACUUCGUG